rnacentral:rRNA from 1 species
GGACUACUGGGGUUUCUAAUCCUGUUUGCUCCCCACGCUUUCGCGUCUCAGCGUCAGUUACGUCCCAGCGAGCUGCCUUCGCAAUUGGUGUUCCUCCUGAUAUCUGCGCAUUUCACCGCUACACCAGGAAUUCCACUCGCCUCUUCCGUACUCUAGCCCGACAGUAUUCACCGGCUUUCAGGGGUUGAGCCCCUGACUUUUACGGCGAACUGAUCGAACCGCCUACACGCUCUUUACGCCCAAUAAUUCCGGACAACGCUAGCCCCCUACGUAUUACCGCGGCUGCUGGCAC